GACGAACGCUGGCGGCGUGCUUAACACAUGCAAGUCGAACGGAAAGGCCCUUUCGGGGGUGCUCGAGUGGCGAACGGGUGAGUAACACGUGGGUGAUCUGCCCUGCACUUUGGGAUAAGCCUGGGAAACUGGGUCUAAUACCGGAUAGGACCACGGCAUGCAUGUGCUGUGGUGGAAAGCUUUUGCGGUGUGGGAUGGGCCCGCGGCCUAUCAGCUUGUUGGUGGGGUGAUGGCCUACCAAGGCGACGACGGGUAGCCGGCCUGAGAGGGUGUCCGGCCACACUGGGACUGAGAUACGGCCCAGACUCCUACGGGAGGCAGCAGUGGGGAAUAUUGCACAAUGGGCGCAAGCCUGAUGCAGCGACGCCGCGUGGGGGAUGACGGCCUUCGGGUUGUAAACCUCUUUCAGCCAUGACGAAGCCUCUUUGGGGUGACGGUAGUGGCAGAAGAAGCACCGGCCAACUACGUGCCAGCGCCGCGGUAA
rnacentral:rRNA from 1 species